CUAUUUGUCCUGGCACUGGGAAUAGCAAAGGAACAGGGGGACUGAACUGGUUUGGAAAGAGGCACAGAGAGGUGAAGUUUCUUGCUGAUAUCUUCUAGACCGCGCUGGCUGCAGGGUCUGUUGCUCCCAACCAGAGGAAAUAGAACCAUGAAAGAACAAGGAAGCCAGUUGCCAUGUUAUGGGGAGGACACUCAGGCAGCCCCGUGGGGAGACUUGUGUGGGGAGGAACUGAGAUGUCUCACCAACAGCCGUAUGAGGGAGCCAUCUUAGAAAUGAAUCUUCCAGCCUCAAUCAAGUCUUCAGAUGACCAGAGCCUCAGCUGAUAACUUGGCUGCAGCCUCAUGAGAGGCCCUGAGCCAGAACCACUCAGCCAAGAUGUUCCUAGAUUCCUGCCUCUCAAAAACUGUGUGAGAUAAAUAGAUGUUUAUUGUUUAAAGUUGUUUAAGGUAAUUCAUUGUGUAGCGAUAGAUAACUAAAA